rnacentral:misc_RNA from 1 species
UUUCCGUUGGUGAACCAGCGGAAGGAUCAUUACAGAGAUCAUGCCCCUCGCGGGUAGACCUCCCACCCUGUGUUAUUUACGAUUGUUGCUUUGGCAGGUCGCCUUCGGCCACCGGCUUCGGCUGGUGCGUGCCUGCCAGAGGACCCCAAACUCUGAAUGUUAGUGUCGUCUGAGUACUAUAUAAUAGUUAAAACUUUCAACAACGGAUCUCUUGGUUCUGGCAUCGAUGAAGAACGCAGC